rnacentral:rRNA from 1 species
GACGAACGCUGGCGGCGUGCCUAAUACAUGCAAGUCGAACGCAUUUUCUUUCACCGUAGCUUGCUACACCGAAAGAAAAUGAGUGGCGAACGGGUGAGUAACACGUGGGUAACCUGCCCAUCAGCGGGGGAUAACACUUGGAAACAGGUGCUAAUACCGCAUAAUUCCAUUUACCGCAUGGCAGAUGGAUGAAAGGCGCUUUUGCGUCACUGAUGGAUGGACCCGCGGUGCAUUAGCUAGUUGGUGGGGUAACGGCCUACCAAGGYUGCGAUGCAUAGCCGACCUGAGAGGGUGAUCGGCCACACUGGGACUGAGACACGGCCCAGACUCCUACGGGAGGCAGCAGUAGGGAAUCUUCGGCAAUGGACGCAAGUCUGACCGAGCAACGCCGCGUGAGUGAAGAAGGUUUUCGGAUCGUAAAACUCUGUUGUUAGAGAAGAACAAGGAUGAGAGUGGAAAGUUCAUCCCUGACGGUAUCUAACCAGAAGMMMMGGUUURMUUYG